rnacentral:rRNA from 1 species
GACGAACGCUGGCGGCGUGCUUAACACAUGCAAGUCGAGCGGUAAGGCCCUUUCGGGGGUACGACGAGCGGCGAACGGGUGAGUAACACGUGGGUGACCUGCCUCUAGCUCUGGGAUAAGCCUGGGAAGCUGGGUCUAAUACCGGAUAUGACCUCGCGGUGCAUGUUGCGGGGUGGAAAGCCUUGUGCGGCUAGGGAUGGGCCCGCGGCCUAUCAGCUUGUU